AGAAAGGCAUUGAAACCCAAACACGAAGCGCUAUAAUGAGAGACCUUUCUCGCUCCCCGAAAGCCAUCGCCUCGCCCUGUCACCCCUCAGAGAGUGAGAGAAAGAAAGCCCCAGAGGGAGCAACGAUAGCCGAUGGACAGAUGGACAAACAGAAGAUGAACCAUAACGGAUGGCCACCAGGAUCAAGGGGAGACUUUUCGAUACCCUUUUCUACGUACAUAUGCCAAUAGCUAAGCAAUAGAUAUAGAAAAUAUAUAAAUCAAAUCUGAAGUAGAAGCAGAACGGAACGUAUCUCAAAUAAUACAAAGGAAAAAAAAAAGGAAAGAAAAGGGAAAAAGUCGGUCUAGAAUGGGCGAGAGAGAGUUGGAAGAUUACGAUGCAGUGAUGUGGGAAGACCGGCGGGUCUUUCGGGAGAUAUUGUUGCAAUUUAAUAAUGCGUUCAAACACUUAAAUA